GUAGUUAAGAAGCAGGUCCAACAGUGGGACAGUGAAGUGCAGAUGACUCUCCAGGGUGUUUUGACUGCACACAAUGGGAGGUGCUCACUGAGGGCAACACUUUAGAGGAGGCCACAGAUGUUGUAACAUCAUACAUCACCUUUUGUGUAGAGAUGCUGGUUCCAACAAAAAACGUUAAAGUAUUUUCAAACAAUAAGCCCUGGAUAACUAAAUCACUGAAAACAACCCUGAAUGAAAAGAAAAUAGCAUUUAAUUCAGGAAACAAGCUAGAAGGUAAAUUAAUUCAAAACAGACUGAACAGAGAAAUUAAAACCGCCAAGAGAACUUAUAAAGAUAGGGUGGAGAGACUUUUUAACAAUGGAAAGGCUAGAGAGGCCUGGCAGGGCGUUAAAACCCUGACCGGGCUCCCCUCCAAAUUCACCUCAUCUGGGCUUUCUGCUGAGGUGUGUGUCCGCAUGGCAGAGGAUCUUAACAUCUUUUAUUGCAGGCAUGAUCAGUGUGAUCACACACAGGAGAGGGAGACGCUCUCUGCAGAGCUUGUCUCUAUGUCCCAGUCCACUGAGGACCUGCAGCUGCUGCCUGCGUAUGUGGAGCGCGCACUGAAGCAGACUAAACCCAACAAGGCUCCUGGACCGGAUCAGAUCUGUGGGCGACUGCUGAAAGGCUGCUGCAGUCAGCUGGCUGGUGUUUUCUGCUCCCUGUUCAACCGUUCUCUGGCGGAGCACUCCAUCCCCUCCAUCUGGAAGUCCUCCAUCAUCUGUCCAGUGGCGAAGAAGAGCAACCCAAGCACCAACAACGACUACCGGCCUGUGGCUUUGACAUCACUGGUCAUGAAGAGCUUUGAAAGGCUCGUCAUGGCCCAGCUGCAGGCUGAUGUGGAUAUGCACUCUGACCCACUGCAAUUUGCCUACCAGCCAAGGAGAGGGGUGGAUGAUGCUGUGCUCACUCUGGUACAUGGUGUCAUCACCCACCUGGAAAAGCCCAAGUCCCAUGUCAGCCUGGUCUUUGUGGAUUUCUCAAGUGCAUUUAACACCGUGCAGCCACAUCUCAUGGGGCGUAAGCUGCUCCAGAUGAAUGCCAACCCCCACCUCAUCCUCUGGGUCCUUUCCUUCCUCACAGGGAGGGAUCAGAGGGUCCGAGUGAAUGGCCACCUCAGUGCUGUCAGAACAAUAUCCACUGGUUC
rnacentral:lncRNA from 1 species